GCUAUGACGACGGGUUGGGCGCGCUAGCGUUUCCUGGAGAUGCCGAGGUCGGCAGCAGAGCCGGGAGGGGCGAACUGAGUCCCCACUCGGAGGCCCCCCCCACACACACCGACCACGUAGAGGAGGCAAGCCGGGCGCUAGAGCAGCGGCCGGGCAGGAUGUGCGCCCGCAGCAACCCGGGGCCAGGCUUCCUGAGCCUUCAAGGGGCCUGCAUCUGCCAGCCCUGUGUCCAUUAGUGAAGGAACGAAUGUGAAAAGCCAAUGGCCUGAAGCAGAGCCAACCAGCGCAGGCCUACCAGCUACCCCACCUUCCAGGUUGGCAAAUGACCUGCAGAAUGACUGCACUCAGGGGGGCGCUUCUGCGGUAAGAGGGCAGGUGGAUGGAAGGAGCGAGUGACCUAGAGGAUCUGGCGUGCCAGAC